GCGGCGGACGGGUGAGUAAUGCCUAGGAAUCUGCCUGGUAGUGGGGGAUAACGUCCGGAAACGGGCGCUAAUACCGCAUACGUCCUGAGGGAGAAAGUGGGGGAUCUUCGGACCUCACGCUAUCAGAUGAGCCUAGGUCGGAUUAGCUAGUUGGUGGGGUAAAGGCCUACCAAGGCGACGAUCCGUAACUGGUCUGAGAGGAUGAUCAGUCACACUGGAACUGAGACACGGUCCAGACUCCUACGGGAGGCAGCAGUGGGGAAUAUUGGACAAUGGGCGAAAGCCUGAUCCAGCCAUGCCGCGUGUGUGAAGAAGGUCUUCGGAUUGUAAAGCACUUUAAGUUGGGAGGAAGGGCAGUAAGUUAAUACCUUGCUGUUUUGACGUUACCAACAGAAUAAGCACCGGCUAACUUCGUGCCAGCAGCCGCGGUAAUACGAAGGGUGCAAGCGUUAAUCGGAAUUACUGGGCGUAAAGCGCGCGUAGGUGGUUCAGCAAGUUGGAUGUGAAAUCCCCGGGCUCAACCUGGGAACUGCAUCCAAAACUACUGAGCUAGAGUACGGUAGAGGGUGGUGGAAUUUCCUGUGUAGCGGUGAAAUGCGUAGAUAUAGGAAGGAACACCAGUGGCGAAG
rnacentral:rRNA from 1 species